AGCCCAUAAAAGCACACGUCCCCGCCUAGGCAGCCACUGGACACCUGCAUCUGCGGGCAAGACUGAAAACAGGUGAGACAGAGAGGAAGGGCCAAAGCCGUGUGGGGGAGGGGUGGUCUGAGGCACCCGCGUCCCCUCGGAUGGGGCUGGUUUGCAGGUCAGCGCAUGGACAUUUUCCCAGAAAGCGACACAGACUAUGAAGUUUGAUGGUCUGGAAAACGGAGACCAACCGCGCUGACUACCUGGAAGCACUGAGACUCCGGACAGCGCCUCUCAGGGUCCAGGAAAGGCACCGCGAUCUGCUUCAGCACCAGGGCUCCGGACAGCUCCUAAGGCUCCCAGGGGGCGACCUCAUUUCAGAACCAGGACACUGGACAGCUUCACUGCUACAGGGAAGCCCUUGUACCCAGAUGGGGGAACAGAGUGCUCUGAAGUGCCUGACGCUUUGGGAGACUUGCCCCUCGUGUAGUGGAUUUUUCAGUGAAUUAUUUUCCAGAUAAGCAGAUGAGAAGAAACCACCCACAGAAAUCCGUAAUUCCUAACAGGUUUGGAAAUACAAAUAUCUGACUCUGAACCCAGGACUCUUAACUGUCUCACUACACUUUCCUGGGAGAUCAAUGAGAAAAUCAUGUUUGAAGCCCUUCCUUGAUCAGGAUUCUAUGGAGACUUUUCAAUAAAAGUUCUGGGGAAUUUUUUACUCCCCUACCUCACCAUCAGUUUCAUGAACCAAUUACAGGACACGUGUAAACUUGUGUCUGGUAGGUGUGUUGUGACAUCAUGGAGGCUCAAACUUAAUUCUCUAUGACAUCCUAAUCAAGUCGAAGACAUGACAUCCAGCUCAUUCCAGCCUCAGAACAGCCUUUUGCCUUUGCUGUUUCCUCAGUUUGGAAUGCUCUGUCCCCACCCAGAGUGCCCCAGGCCUCAUUCUGCCCCUCACCCAAGCCUUGUUUCAUCAAGGGGAACUGUCUUUGUUGCCUCGCCAUUCCCCAUGUCACGCCUACACUCUACAUUCUCCUAGAAUAUUUUCUACUCCACACUGAGUGUAAUUAUUUUUGUGUUAUGUAUUUACAGAACUGUCUGUCUCCCCCAUUACACUGUGCACUACAUGAAGGCAGAGACUGUAUUUGUAUCUUCACUGCUGUGUCCCCAGCACCUAAUCCAGGACCUGGUAUACAGCAGGUGCUCAAUAAACAUUUGUUGCCUCAAUAAAAGCACUAGGGAAUAAACUAAUACAUCAAUCAAUAAGUGAACUGAUGGUUUUGGCACACACAUGAAGACCUUGCUGCUUCUUGGUCUCCCCCACAGAGAUACCAUAGGGGGAUGGUUGCUGCAGGUGUUUAUUGGGGAGCAUAAUUAAAUUUGUGGACACUCAAGGGCCAGCCAACCAACUAACAGCCCCAGGAGAGAGCCAGGCUCGUUUAAUUAGCAAUUACGAGGCAUUGAUUCUUCAUUAGCUCUGGCAAACCCCAUCUCCCUCCUCAGUCCCAGACAAAUGAAAUCCUUCCCCCUCCCAGGAGUACUGCCUCAGUGGGUCCAUUAACAAGCAGAGCAAAUAUGAUUACAAGACACCUAAAUGCCAGAGGCUCUUCAUGAAUCGGGAGAAGAGAGUUCAAUGUCUGGGUUAAGGCUAAUUGUGAGAGACUUUCUGGUAUAUUUAGAAUUGUUCUCUGGGAAUGGGACAGCUUUCAGAUAGGAAAAGCACCCAGAUACUGCACUUUAGGGACGUCAAUUAAAAAAAAAGAGCUUCUGUCCUGGUAUUUCUCUGAAUAUUUCUCCCUGGGUGUCUCCCUAUCCCUCCAAAUUAAUCAUUUCAAGCUGAACACUCACUCCAGCCAGCCCCCAACUUGCCCCUCCCUGCAUGCCCCCAUCAUGUGACAGGCUCUCCACAUCCCAGAGAUCCUCCCCCUGCUCAUCUACUUCCUGUAUUCCCCAAGGCAAGUCAUUCUCAUCAGAUCUGUCCUCGUCUCCAGCUCCCUACCUCUAUCACUGCCUGAUCACCUCAUGGUCUCUUCCCUCAAAACACGCACACAGGCAACUCAUUCUCCACAUACAGGGGGUCUUUCUAGAACACAUAUCUGGUCAAGUCCCACCUCUUCCUUCAACCCUUCUAAGACUCCCAUUGCCUGUGGGAUAGAAUUCAAAUAUCCUCACACAACUUGCAUGAUCUGGCCCCUCCCUGCUAAGAGCAAUUACCUAUCAUUUUCCUGCCAGCUAUACUCAACAAUUAGCCCACACAAGACCACCUCUUGCUUGACUUCUCUGACUUCUAUAUGAUUCCCCUAGGAAUGCAUAGAGAAUGAAGAUUCCCAGGACCCUCUGACUUUUAAUAAGCCAGAGGUGGGGCAGGUCCAGGAAUCUGCGUUUUGACCAGCAUCUUCAGUGACUGUUAUUUAGGGGAAUUUUUCUUUUGCUUUAAAAAAAAUACCCGGAGUUCUCUUGUGGUGCAGUGCAUUAAGGAUCCAGCAUUGUCACUGAAAUGGAUGGGGUCACUGCUGUGGCGUGGGUUAAAUCCUGGAUCCAGGACUUUGACAUGCCACAGGUACGGCCAAAAACAAAACAAAACAAAACAAAAACAAAAACAAAAAACCUCACCAACCUUUUACUUCUCCCAAAAACCACUGAAAGGAAGAGAAGCUCAGUUAAUCCUACCGGUUUCAUCUUUGCACUCUGCUAUACCCAGCUCAGUGCCAGCACCUAAUAAAUAUUCAGUUGAGAUACAAAUGCUAAUGUCUGAAUCUCUGUCACCUUCAUCAGACACAGAAACAUGGAGGCCACGUGUACCUGUAAUGAUGAGCCAUUACCCACAGAGGUGCUGUGGACAUCUGAACUGACGGUACAACCCAAUGAGCUAUUUUAUUAUAUUUGGUCAGUGUCCAUUUAUAUUAAUUUGGGAAUAUAUGAAAGCAGGGUCUGAGACAAGUUUGCUUUACUUGGAAAGCAGAAGUGAAGAAAACAAUGAGCACGGCAAAGGAAGGAACACCAAUAUAUGAGGAUGUAGUGGAGUUACUCUAACAGACUCAAAAUAACAGUGGCUUAAACAAAAUGAAAGUUUAUUUUCUCCCCUUUGACUUGACAACUCUAUGCCUAGAUCUACAUAGGGGAGGCUAUUUCCACAGAAUGAAUUUCACUAAAACAGUCACAAUGGCUUUGUUGAUAAUAGCCAAAAACUAACUGGCAAAUGGAUAAACAAACUGUGGUAUAUCCACACCAUGGGAUACGUCUUAGGAGAAAAAAACAAAAACAAAAACAACAA